CCGCUCCUGCGCUGGUCAUUGGGGGCAGUGAGAGGAGGCCAGAAGCAGAGGCGAUGCCGGCGGGGAGCGGGCGGUGGGGGGGGCUUCUGGGAGCAGCGGACCCGGCAGCUGCAGAGCCAAGUGUGGACCAAAGAAGACAAGAUAGCAGAACUGGAAACGGAAAAUGCUGUCCUUCUCCUGAAAUUGGCAGAGUACAAGGGAAACAUUGAAAGGAGUCGCAGCGAGGCCCGCGGAUUUCCACCCUGUACAACAAACAGCAGCGUCUGCAGAGAAACACACGCUCAGCCUUGAGCCAGCUGGGUCAUGUCAUUCAGGCAGUGACGAGAGGCUCUGAGCCUGAGCCAGCAUCGCGAGGAAGUCAACAACAGAUGGAAACAUGGCUCGCGCCCAGCAUCGCCCCACCGUGCAGUGAGCGGCCCUUCCUACGGAAAUUGGUGAAAUACUUGACUUUCUGUUUCUUAAAUACUUUAAGGGCAUAAAAUCACAUGUACUGCUUUGAAAGUACAAAUCCCAGCUGUACUGAGUCAGAACUUCUGUAAGUGAGCCGAGGCACGGGCAGCAUGAAAACAGCCCUGGCGGGCGUCGACACGCCUGGGCCGAAGAACUUCUGCUUUAAACCCUUCCAGUUAACAACACAUCCAUUACAUUAAUUGUGUGGGAUAUACAGGCGUUUCAUUCUUCUUCUCGGGCGCUCUUAAGAGAUUGUCAGGAUGAGUAUCAGGACCGCGUUUCUGAAAUAGUGACCACGGUGC